UCCUUUCUUAUCUGUCCAUUCUAGCAAACUUUCGAAGCGUGCUUUUCCUUAUCAAUCUCUCGAUCUCAUCUUUCAGCUGCCGAUAUUCCUCCGUUGUAUGCCCGUGAUCUUUAUGAAAAGGACAAUAUUUGAUCCUGUCUCAUUGACUCGCGGUUGUCGAAGCCGGUCAAAAAUAACCUUUCCGGUUAUCAAUAAUUUUACAACUGCAAAUAGUGGUAAAGGAUCGAAUCCACAGAGAAUUGAAAACUUAUCUAUUUUUCUCAACAAGACCAAGAGAAUUAACUGAAUGAGAAACUGAAAGCAAGUAACUGUAAGCAGAAUAAAAGUAAAGUGUAAUAAAAGUAAAAAGGGGGUUUUGAGAUUGAUUUGAUUAGCAAACUACGGACAUCAAUUAAAUGAGCAAUUAAUUAAAAUAAAAGAGAAAUUCAAUAUGAGAAAGGUCUAUUUGCAGAGAUGGAUCCACUUUGGUUGUUUGGAUUGAUCAUUGAAACUUAUAUUCUCUUGAUUGAUUCAAUAGAUUAGUUAUGGAGAUGGAAAAUGCUUCUCACCAUCAUGUCCCUCCUUAUGAUUAAAUCAAUUAGGGAACGUCCUCUAAUUAAUUACUAAUUAACAAAUUUCCAAGGAACGUCAUUGGGCAUUAGGCAUGAAAACAAUUGUCAAUUGCAUGAAGAAAUAGAGAGAUCCAAUCCUAGCUACCCAAAUGCAUGGAGAUGUUGUUAGAUCAUACAAUUUCUUAGUUAUUACACCAAGUGUUCUUAUGUUAGAAUAAUUCCAGCAAUUACGGACUAAAAAUUAUCCCAACUAACAAUCAAUUAUCUUGCAAUCAAGAAUCAAGUGGCCAAUUUGAUCAAAACAACAAAGUAAUCAUAGAUUCAAGCACCAAAUUGUAUGAAUAUUGAACAAAUCAAAGACAAAUAGUUUAUGUUCAGAUCUCACAAUCCAUAAAACAACCUUAGUUUCAACCAAUCUUCAACUAGAAUAAAAAGUUUCAGCCACUCAUGGCUGAAACAAAACAGAAAAUAAAAGGAGAACACAAAAGAUGAAGAACCGAAGAUGGAGAUGGAGAGGCUUAUGCACCUUGCUUGGCCGGAUGGGAGGGAUGGAGU
rnacentral:lncRNA from 1 species